GUACAAUGUAGGAGUCAAUGCCAUGGUCCUAUCGUGGCAACAAAUGAGAGUGCAAGUAUGACCGAACAAGGAAGUGGGGUUGAUCAUACCCAGUCGAAGCCAAGGGUCAUUUCCAAUGUUGAUGACGAUGACGGUGUCGUAUUUGAAGACGAUGCUGAUGAGAACGAGGGAUACCUAUUCGCUGGGCAAUAUGAGGAUACCGAUGAGGAUAUAGAGGUCGAUGGUAGUCAAGAUGAAUCGACUGCCACUGAUGUUCCUGACCCAUACGACAAGGUGUACAGCAACAUCCCUGAAGAAACACAUAUGC
rnacentral:misc_RNA from 1 species